rnacentral:lncRNA from 1 species
GCGUAGCAAACAAAACGCCGCGUCGUCCCGGGCAACCGAUCAACACUCACAUCGCGUGCGACAAGCUGCUGUGCAACAGUGCUCCAAAUUCCAGUGAUUUUCCCCCCCAGAAGCCCCAAAAUGUCCUGCUGCCCUCCUGCCUGCUGCCCGCCUGCCUGCUGCGUCCCCACCUGCUGCCCCCCCGUCUGCUGCAUGCCGUGCUGCGUCCCGUGCGUGUACGUGCCCUGCUGCUUCCCGUGCCCGCCCUGCUGCCCCUGUCCCCCCAAGUGCUGACCCCCGAAGGACAUGAGGGGCUUCGCCCCGAUAGUUUAGCAACGAAAUGUCAUAAAAACGCCAAGUAAAACGUCUAAUUCA